UACGAAGGGGGCUAGCGUUGUUCGGAAUCACUGGGCGUAAAGCGCACGCAGGCGGAUCGUUAAGUCAGGGGUGAAAUCCCGAGGCUCAACCUCGGAACUGCCUCUGAUACUGGCGAUCUUCGAGUCCGGGAGAGGUGAGUGGAACUCCGAGUGUAGAGGUGAAAUUCGUAGAUAUUCGGAAGAACACCAGUGGCGAAGGCGGCUCACUGGCCCGGUAUUGACGCUGAGGUGCGAAAGCGUGGGGAGCAAACAGG
rnacentral:rRNA from 1 species